rnacentral:lncRNA from 1 species
GAGGCUGGCUGCCACCUGCAGAAACCACGCUGCUGCUGCAGCUUGGAGGAAUACAGCAGUUGUGUAUUUUACUCUCUUGAAAUGCAACACGUGGUUGGCUUCAUACAAGAAACGGGAUUUGAGACAUCUCUGAUGCCUGUGUCAGGGGGCAGAGGACCUGCUGAAUACAACACACAGAACACCUUGAAUUGUCCUCCUCAUCCCUCCUACAGAAAAACUGCCAAGGGUGUGAUGACUUGGUAA